GGAACUGAUCCAGCAUGCCGCGUGAGUGAUGAAGGCCUUAGGGUUGUAAAGCUCUUUUACCAGGGAUGAUAAUGACAGUACCUGGAGAAUAAGCUCCGGCUAACUCCGUGCCAGCAGCCGCGGUAAUACGGAGGGAGCUAGCGUUGUUCGGAAUUACUGGGCGUAAAGCGCGCGUAGGCGGUCUAUUAAGUCAGGGGUGAAAUCCCGGGGCUCAACCCCGGAACUGCCCUUGAAACUGCUAGACUAGAAUCUUGGAGAGGCGAGUGGAAUUCCGAGUGUAGAGGUGAAAUUCGUAGAUAUUCGGAAGAACACCAGUGGCGAAGGCGACUCGCUGGACAAGUAUUGACGCUGAGGUGCGAAAGUGUGGGGAGCAAACAGGAUUAGAUACCCUGGUAGUCCACACCGUAAACGAUGAUAACUAGCUGUCCGGGCACAUGGUGCUUGGGUGGCGCAGCUAACGCAUUAAGUUAUCCGCCUGGGGAGUACGGUCGCAAGAUUAAAACUCAAA
rnacentral:rRNA from 1 species